UCCGGAGUUUCUCCGGCAGUCCCCCAUGAGUGCUCGGCACUACCCGGUGGCAACAUAAGGCGGGGGUUGCGCUCGUUGCGGGACUUAACCCAACAUCUCACGACACGAGCUGACGACAGCCAUGCACCACCUGUACACCGGCUCAAAGAGAAACACCAUCUCUGAUGCUGUCCGGCAUAUGUCAAGCCUUGGUAAGGUUCUUCGCGUUGCGUCGAAUUAAGCCACGUGCUCCGCUGCUUGUGCGGGCCCCCGUCAAUUCCUUUGAGUUUCAGCCUUGCGGCCGUACUCCCCAGGCGGUCUACUUAGUGCGUUAGCUGCGCCACCAAAACCUCAAGGGUCCCGACGGCUAGUAGACAUCGUUUACGGCGUGGACUAC
rnacentral:misc_RNA from 1 species